rnacentral:rRNA from 1 species
GACGAACGCUGGCGGCGUGCCUAAUACAUGCAAGUAGAACGCACAGUUUAUACCGUAGCUUGCUACACCAUAGACUGUGAGUUGCGAACGGGUGAGUAACGCGUAGGUAACCUGCCUGGUAGCGGGGGAUAACUAUUGGAAACGAUAGCUAAUACCGCAUCAUAUUGAUUAUUGCAUGAUAAUUGAUUGAAAGAUGCUAUUGCAUCACUACCAGAUGGACCUGCGUUGUAUUAGCUAGUAGGUGAGGUAACGGCUCACCUAGGCGACGAUACAUAGCCGACCUGAGAGGGUGAUCGGCCACACUGGGACUGAGACACGGCCCAGACUCCUACGGGAGGCAGCAGUAGGGAAUCUUCGGCAAUGGACGAAAGUCUGACCGAGCAACGCCGCGUGAGUGAAGAAGGUUUUCGGAUCGUAAAGCUCUGUUGUAAGAGAAGAACGGGUGUGAGAGUGGAAAGUUCACACUGUGACGGUAGCUUACCAGAAAGGGACGGCUAACUACGUG